UAAAGUGCUCUGUUCAACUCAUACUUCUUUCUCUCUAUACGAACAAAUAUUUUUAGGGUUUCUCUUGAAGAUUUUCUUCGAGUUCAUGGGGAAUUUGACUAUUUUCAUGUUAUCAAAGCUCAAAAUUGAAGACAUAUGAGCAUUCCAUAUCGAUCGAUUCUAUCCUUGGAUGUUGGUUCGUGGUUUUGGAUUUUUUGGUGGUGAGUUUGCUUCGGUGUUUUCUUAACGAUGUGUUCUGUUGAAAUUAGUCGUCAGAGACCGAUAACUUACUUCUGCUAUAACUUUUGUUGUCUACAUUUGCUUUGCUGUGAGAAUUGAUUGAAUUUUGUGGAAGCCCUAAUUCUUUCAAAACCCUAAUUUUCGACCGAGUAAUUUUCUAUCAAUGGCUCAUAUCGACGAUUCUACCACUCUACUCUAGCUUCAACCUCAACUAUUUCUUCUUCUGUUGAACCGUCACACCCUUUGUACCUAUAUCCGUCUGACUCACAUGGUACAAUUUUGGUCAUGAAUACCUUUAAUGGCAUGGGUUAUGGGGGUUAGAGACGAAGCAUCUUGAUUGGGUUAUCAUGUAAAAACAAAUUGGGGAUAAUGAAUGGAAAAAUCCCUAAACCUAGUGAAAACUCUGUGUUGUUUGAACCCUGGGUUCCUUAUAAUAAUAUGAUGACUGCGUGGAUACAAAAUAGCCUAGACACUGAGAUUAGGGAGAGUGUGAUGUAUACAGAAUCUGCUCAAAAACUUUGCAAAGAAAUCGAACAACGUUAUGGGAAAGCAAAUGGGACUAAGGUAUUUCAAAUCAUGAAGGACCUUGCUUCCAUUUCCCAGGGGCCUUCUAACAUUGCUUCCUAUUUCAGUCGUAUUAAAAAUCUUUGGAUGAGUUGGCUUACUCAAUUGCUUAUCUAGACAAUACAUGUGGUUAUAAAGAGGCUUUUCAGAAGCUAGAAGAAGAGCAAAAGGUUCAUCAAUUCUUGAUGGGGUUAAAUGAAACCUACACUGGGGUUAGGAGAAACAUUUUGUUGAUGAAGCCUUUGCCUGAUAAUGACAGUGUGUAUGCAAUGCUAAUUGAGGAUGAAAGCCAAGCUGAAGUUCAAAUUUCAAAUUUUUCCUUCAGUCCAGAGUCUUCCUCUUUUGCCACAAAUGUUCAGAAGCCUAUGAAUUCAAGGGUACCAUUUGACACUACUAGGGACAAUACUAGAGUUCAAAGGUCUUUCACUCCAAGGAUAAAUUUUGAUUCUGCUAAGAAGGGGAACUCUAGUUUGAUGUGCAGAUGUUAUAAGAAACAUGGGCAUCUGAUUGAAAACUGUUAUAAGCUGCAUUCAAAAGGUCAGCUGCAUUUGCUCAAGUCUCAGAUUCACCUGAUAUGGGAGUUACUGAUAACUCUACUUCUGAGAGCUCCAAGGUAAUUCCACUUGACAUUGGGGGUAACAUUCUAAUAAAGGAUCGAUAUGAUCAACUGCUCAAUUUUCUUCAACAGUCCAAGAUGUCCUCUGCUUCUCAAGAAAUUCCAUCUGGUUCAGGAAAUUUUGCAGGUCUAAUAGGGCCUUUUUCUGAAGAAGUCAGUGGUGCGUGGUAGACUUCUGAAGGGUCUCUACAUCCUUCAGCCUAAUGAUCUUUGUAAAUGUGAUGUUUCUUCUUUUAAUUCCUCUAUAAAAACCAUAACUGUCAAUGUUGAUAUAAAGAAUAAGAGCGGUUCUACUCUCUA